rnacentral:lncRNA from 1 species
UUGGUAGUGGUUUUGGGUGGAAACGCGUGGCAGUCAUCUUGGUUGUGGCAGGAGUUCAAGUACUGCCUGACAACCAGGGAAAAGUCUACCUGCAUUUGGAGCUGGAUUUACUGUGGUAUCACGUGCGAAGAAACGGUGAAGUCGCUGAUGCGUCCAGCUGAUCCUGAAGAGACAACCGGACCAACCUAGUUGGGGGAGAUGCUAAAAACUUCUGGCCUGCAUUGCUGAAAACUCCCAGCCGCUGCUGUGCAGAUCUGUCUCCGACUAUGGGAAAGUGGACCAGAGGGGAUUUCCGGCCUGAAAGGUUAGGGUUGGAGAGCAUGCAGCUGGUAAGAUCGCUCCCUGCUCAGCACCGGGCUGCUCAGAAAAGACAACCAGCCAGAGAAUGCCUUCUGCCUCAGGUUCUCCGUUUGUAAGACCAGCCUGGCAUGUUCAGGGGCUCCCUGGGACGGACAAGGGGUCUUGGUUGGAGGGUUGCCCGGAAGCCCAGAGCGGAGGUGACCCGCAGGGCCUGAUCCAGAGCUGGAGGCACCGAGAGGCACUGAGGGUUAGGGUCGGAGUGACCUUAACCUUUCACCUGGAAGGCCCUUCCUCAAGGGAACUGGCUGGUCUGGGGAGCCUGUUUCUGUCGCACAGUGGCUGGUACCUGCCACACUGUACAUCUGCACUUCCUAGAAGCAUUGUUCUCCAAGAAAUGAGGAUUCCUGCGAAAAUGAAAUCACAGCAAUGGAGUUACUGUGAAUAUUUUAUGAACACAUGCGGUGCUCAUUCAGCACACGUGGUCGGACUCCCCCUAUUCAAGGCCUGGAGACGUGGCAGGGAGAGAAACACAAGACAGGAAAGGCUGGGGCCUGUGGGGCACACAGACCAUCAGAGGGAACAGAGGGACAUUGAAGAUUGGAAAGCAUUACUGCUACCCCAACAAUGAGAAAAAAAGAGAUGUUAUCUUCCUGAAAAGCGAAUAGCCUGACACCCAUGGAAAGACAGUCUCUAAAAAGAUGAGAUCCACACACUGCCCCUCUAUACAUCGCAGGAAGGAGAGAUACCAGGUGCUGUAUGCACAGGAACAAGAUAAAAUUCUCUGACAAACUGCUGAAGGCCAAGUGUGGGUGAAAAGACAGAAUCCCUGGGAGCCACAAACACAAGGAGAGCAGACACCCACUCUCAGGUUCUCA